GACGAACGCUGGCGGCGUGCUUAACACAUGCAAGUCGAACGGAAAGGCCCUGCUUUUGUGGGGUGCUCGAGUGGCGAACGGGUGAGUAACACGUGAGUAACCUGCCCUUGACUUUGGGAUAACUUCAGGAAACUGGGGCUAAUACCGGAUAGGAGCUCCUGCUGCAUGGUGGGGGUUGGAAAGUUUCGGCGGUUGGGGAUGGACUCGCGGCUUAUCAGCUUAUUGGUGGGGUAGUGGCUUACCAAGGCUUUGACGGGUAGCCGGCCUGAGAGGGUGACCGGCCACAUUGGGACUGAGAUACGGCCCAGACUCCUACGGGAGGCAGCAGUGGGGAAUAUUGCACAAUGGGCGGAAGCCUGAUGCAGCAACGCCGCGUGCGGGAUGACGGCCUUCGGGUUGUAAACCGCUUUCGCCUGUGACGAAGCGUGAGUGACGGUAAUGGGUAAAGAAGCACCGGCGAACUACGU
rnacentral:rRNA from 1 species